rnacentral:lncRNA from 1 species
AGAAACAGAGUGAAAACAAGGAAAUUUGCUUUGCCUUUGUGAAAAUGAUCUCUGUUGAUUAUGUUUAUUUAGAACCAGAAAUUGAAAUGUACUACAAACAAAUUGUGAUGUCAUCCUCAAAUGUUAUUAUCAUUUAUGAGGAAAAAGACAAUUUCUUUGAUUUGAUCUUCAGAAUGUGGGAACCUCCAGUUUUACAGAGAAUAUGGAUCACCACAAAACAAUGGAAUUGCCCUACCAGUAAGAGAGACAUAACUCAUGGCACAUUCUAUGGAUCACUUACUUUUCUACCCCACCAUGGUACACUCCUUUCUAAGAAAGACCCACUUCACUAAUCCUCUUGGGGACAAAGUGAUUAUGAAACAAAGAGUAAUAACGCAGGAAGACUAUGACGUUUUUCAUUUUGGGAAUCUCUCACAACAUCUUGGGAUUAAGCUGAAGUUAGGAAAGUUCAGCCCAUAUUUUUCACAUGGUCGACACUUUCACUUAUACAUAGACAUGAUUGAAGUGGCCACAGGAAGUAGAAAGAUGCCAUCCUCUGUGUGCAGUGCGGAAUGUAGUCCUGGAUUCAGAAGAUUGUGGAAGGAGGGAAUGGCAGCCUGCUGUUUUGUUUGCAGCCCCUGCCCUGAAAAUGAAAUUUCUAAUGAGACA